rnacentral:rRNA from 1 species
CCUACGGGUGGCAGCAGUGGGGAAUAUUGGACAAUGGGCGCAAGCCUGAUCCAGCCAUGCCGCGUGAGUGAUGAAGGCCCUAGGGUUGUAAAGCUCUUUCACCGGAGAAGAUAAUGACGGUAUCCGGAGAAGAAGCCCCGGCUAACUUCGUGCCAGCAGCCGCGGUAAUACGAAGGGGGCUAGCGUUGUUCGGAAUUACUGGGCGUAAAGCGCACGUAGGCGGAUCGAUCAGUCAGGGGUGAAAUCCCAGGGCUCAACCCUGGAACUGCCUUUGAUACUGUCGAUCUGGAGUAUGGAAGAGGUGAGUGGAAUUCCGAGUGUAGAGGUGAAAUUCGUAGAUAUUCGGAGGAACACCAGUGGCGAAGGCGGCUCACUGGUCCAUUACUGACGCUGAGGUGCGAAAGCGUGGGGAGCAAACAGGAUUAGAUACCCUUGUAGUC